rnacentral:lncRNA from 1 species
CUGUGAUACCUCAAUGCUUGAUCAGAGAACCAAGGCAAAGCUACUAAGCGGCUAAUGGCAAUCCAGGCUGAAUGCAGACAGCACCAGGCUCCAUCAUGCUGCUAAGACCGACGCCAUUUAGAACAUAUGCAUGUUUAUUUCUGGAAUUGUUUAUUCAUGUCACAAUGCCUGCAUCAUUCAUCUCAUUUCAUCUCAUCACACGGGCAUCGUAUCAUCUCACAUCAUCACAAGGAGAAGGGGUAGCGCAUCAAAAUUGCAAUUCCAGGCCAGGCGUGAGCCACCGUAAUCCCAGCACUUUGGGAGGCCGAGGCAGGCAGAUCUCCCGAGGUCACGAGUUGGAGAUCAGUCUGGCCAACAUGCUUAGGAGGACCUGGGAAAUGUGAGCCACCUUUACCAUCACACAUGGCAGGGUUUGGAACCUGGAACCCCUGAUGGCUUUGUGGAUAUUAUUCAGAGAUUUGCAAACCCAGACAGAUUAAAAAAAAAAAAAGAAGCAAAACUACACACAAAAGCAAGAACAAAAGUAAAAAGACUGCGUCAUUAUUUCUUCCAACCUCUAAUUGAGAUUUAGCAUUUUCUUCCUUUGGGAACAUAAGCACUUUCAUAUUCAGCCACUGCAUCUGUAUUUCCUCUCACAGCUUCUUUUGCAGGAAUGACUUCAUUCUACCACCCUUUGCUGCCAUAUCAGGACGUCGGGAAGCAAAGAGACGUGUCGGCUUGAUCAGCACACAGGUCAUUCCUAGAGAGAUCAGCUCAGUCACCGAGCAGGCAGGAACAGGCACUCUGGAGGGGAGAGGCAGGCCCAGGAGGAUGAGUCAAGGCAGGGAUUGAAACUGCAGGAUGAGGGAGUCAGCGCCUGGGAACCCACAGGGCGGAGUUAGAUAAGAAGAAAUGCCCGCGGAAUCUGCAGUUUAAAUGGAGCCUGGGGUUUGUAAAGAGGAGUCAGGCGUUCUUUACCUUGUCAGUUCCGACUGCUUUGUGCACAGCUGACUCAGAGACCGGGUGGGGCUGCCCUCUUAGGUGAAACCAGACCGAUUAGAAAGUCGGCUGGGCCCUGCAGAUCCUGCCGGCCACACCCUCCCAGCAUUAAGGGUAUGCCUCAUCUGUGAAACCAACUCUCCCCCGUGAAGGAGAAGUGACAUGUCCAUUUUAAAGAAAAUCACUUCAUGGUUGAGGAGGCAUGAUUUUUGCAUGCAACAGAGGCAGUGUAGAAGAAGUUCUUAAUCAACCUUUGUGCCAAGAAGCUCUUUAGCAGUCUGAUGAAGCCCGUGGGCCCCUUCUAAGAAUAAUAUUUUUAAACCCAUAACAUAAAUACAUCGGGCACCAAGGAAACCAGUUAUAUUGAAACAGCUAUCAAAGGAAACCAAAUAUCUUGAAAUACAGUUAUCAAAAUAUUGAAGUAAUUGUGAUCUAGUACUACGUGUGCCUCUUGAUUAACUCUUUAAGUAACAAGAUCUAGUAUAAUUCAGAAGUACAUUGUACUAACGGCAAUGACAUUUUAAGGCAUUUGCCAAAACUGCAAGGUGUUGUGGGGACACUCGCAUUUUCUGUUGGUGACCAAGGGGC